ACGGGCUCUUCGGAGCUAGUGGCGGACGGGUGAGUAACGCGUGAGAAUCUGGCUUCAGGUUCGGGACAACAGUUGGAAACGGCUGCUAAUACCGGAUGUGCCUAAGGGUGAAAGAUUUAUCACCUGAAGAUGAGCUCGCGUCUGAUUAGCUAGUAGGUGUGGUAAGAGCGCACCUAGGCGACGAUCAGUAGCUGGUCUGAGAGGAUGAUCAGCCACACUGGGACUGAGACACGGCCCAGACUCCUACGGGAGGCAGCAGUGGGGAAUUUUCCGCAAUGGGCGAAAGCCUGACGGAGCAAUACCGCGUGAGGGAGGAAGGCUCUUGGGUUGUAAACCUCUUUUCUCAGGGAAGAAGUCCUGACGGUACCUGAGGAAUAAGCAUCGGCUAACUCCGUGCCAGCAGCCGCGGUAAUACGGAGGAUGCAAGCGUUAUCCGGAAUGAUUGGGCGUAAAGCGUCCGCAGGUGGCAAUGUAAGUCUGCUGUCAAAGCGUCUGGCUCAACCAGAUAAAGGCAGUGGAAACUACAUAGCUAGAGUAAGGUAGGGGUAGAGGGAAUUCCUGGUGUAGCGGUGAAAUGCGUAGAGAUCAGGAAGAACACCGGUGGCGAAAGCGCUCUGCUGGACCUAAACUGACACUGAGGGACGAAAGCUAGGGGAGCGAAUGGGAUUAGAUACCCCAGUAGUCCUAGCCGUAAACGAUGGAUACUAGGCGUUGCCCGUAUCGACCCGGGCAGUGUCGUAGCUAACGCGUUAAGUAUCCCGCCUGGGGAGUACGCAGGCAACUGUGAAACUCAAAGGAAUUGACGGGGGCCCGCACAAGCGGUGGAGUAUGUGGUUUAAUUCGAUGCAACGCGAAGAACCUUACCAGGGCUUGACAUGUCCGGAAUCUUCUUGAAAGGGAGGAGUGCCUUCGGGAGCCGGAACACAGGUGGUGCAUGGCUGUCGUCAGCUCGUGUCGUGAGAUGUUGGGUUAAGUCCCGCAACGAGCGCAACCCUCGUUCUUAGUUGCCAUCAUUAAGUUGGGAACUCUAAGGAGACUGCCGGUGACAAACCGGAGGAAGGUGGGGAUGACGUCAAGUCAGCAUGCCCCUUACGCCCUGGGCUACACACGUACUACAAUGCUAUGGACAAAGGGCAGCAAGCCAGCAAUGGCAAGCAAAUCUCAUAAACCAUGGCUCAGUUCAGAUCGCAGGCUGCAACUCGCCUGCGUGAAGGUGGAAUCGCUAGUAAUUGCAGGUCAGCAUACUGCAGUGAAUUCGUUCCCGGGCCUUGUACACACCGCCCGUCACACCAUGGAAGCUGGUCACGCCCGAAGUCGUUACCCUAACCUUUCGAGGAGGGGGACGCCGAAGGUAGGACUGGUGACUGGGGUGAAGUCGUAACAAGGUAGCCGUACCGGAAGGUGUGGCUGGAUCACCUCCUU
rnacentral:rRNA from 1 species